rnacentral:rRNA from 1 species
AGAACCUGAAACCGUGUACGUACAAGCAGUGGGAGCACCUUCGUGGUGUGACUGCGUACCUUUUGUAUAAUGGGUCAGCGACUUAUAUUUUGUAGCAAGGUUAACCGUAUAGGGGAGCCGUAGGGAAACCGAGUCUUAACUGGGCGAAUAGUUGCAAGGUAUAGACCCGAAACCCGGUGAUCUAGCCAUGGGCAGGUUGAAGGUUGGGUAACACUAACUGGAGGACCGAACCGACUAAUGUUGAAAAAUUAGCGGAUGACUUGUGGCUGGGGGUGAAAGGCCAAUCAAACCGGGAGAUAGCUGGUUCUCCCCGAAAGCUAUUUAGGUAGCGCCUCGUGAACUCAUCUUCGGGGGUAGAGCACUGUUUCGGCUAGGGGGCCAUCCCGGCUUACCAAACCGAUGCAAACUCCGAAUACCGAAGAAUGUUAUCACGGGAGACACACGGCGGGUGCUAACGUCCGUCGUGAAGAGGGAAACAACCCAGACCGCCAGCUAAGGUCCCAAAGUCAUGGUUAAGUGGGAAACGAUGUGGGAAGGCAUAGACAGCCAGGAUGUUGGCUUAGAAGCAGCCAUCAUUUAAAGAAAGCGUAAUAGCUCACUGGUCGAGUCGGCCUGCGCGGAAGAUGUAACGGGGCUAAACCAUGC